ensembl:lncRNA
UGGUGGUGAGGAUAAUAUUGAGCGCUCGUAUAUAUAGGCUACACAAGCAUUGUGGGCCGGCCAAUGCAGGGCAGGCAGCGGAGGUAGGUGUGCGAUUCGGAUCCCCUCCGCACAUACAUACCUGGUUGCAGGCAGCGUGUGCGAUUCGGAAUCACUCCGCACACACCUGGUUGCAGAGUGCGGAGUGGGGCACCAAAAUAAAACUUCCGGGUCCAACCGCUCCGUCGAACAUCAAAACAAACAACGAUGGCUGAACCAGUGAACCUUUUUACGAUUACUUCUUUCUUCAGUGAGACACCUGAAAGAGUAAAGAAAGGGUUGAAUUCGUUUCACUCCAACAGAGUGGUCAGUGUAGCCGUUUUGCCUCGGGGAGUUAUAAAGGGUAGCGUCCAGGCAUCACAGAAAAAAGAAAGUUUACGAGGUUGAGAUCGACAUGCCACUAUGCUGACGGUUCAAUGUUCCGAAAACGGAACCCCUUGGUCCGAAGGUCCGUUUGUCCGACUUGUCAAAAAGGAGGCGUCUUGGGCCGACGGUUCAAUAUGCCGAAUAGUCCGAGGCUCAAUUCCACAUGUGUGAUUAUGAAACCAAAGAUAAAAGACGAUGUAGGCUAAGUUCCAGCAGUGCACUUCACCAAGGCAGACUUUUUCUGUGGGCUUGAACGGUCACAAGAGGUGAAUUUAUGAAGCGCACGUUAUACAAGGACCCCGUAAAGAAGUCAAACGAGACACAAGGUAAACCAGCUUGAGUUCUGGAGGUGGUCCAUGAAGCAUCUCUCGAACACAGGGCACCACAUGCGCUUCAGUAAACAGAAGCGUCUCCAGCAUAGCAGGAACGGUCGCAGACAGGCAUCUUCUCCCGUGUUCCCACCAGCCAGGUAACAUACAGAUCAAG